rnacentral:rRNA from 1 species
ACCAAGAAAAGCCUCUAAGCUUCAGUUAUGGAGAGACCGUACCGCAAACCGACACAGGUGGGCAGGAUGAGAAUUCUAAGGCGCUUGAGAGAACUCAGGAGAAGGAACUCGGCAAAUUAGCACCGUAACUUCGGGAUAAGGUGCGCCCUGGUAGAUUGAAGGCCCUCGCGGCUGGAGGUCGAAAGGGUUGCAGUGAAAUGGUGGCUGCGACUGUUUAAUAAAAACACAGCACUCUGCAAACACGAAAGUGGACGUAUAGGGUGUGACGCCUGCCCGGUGCCGGAAGGUUAAGUGAUGGGGUGCAAGCUCUUGAUCGAAGCCCCGGUAAACGGCGGCCGUAACAAUAACGGUCCUAAGGUAGCGAAAUUCCUUGUCGGGUAAGUUCCGACCUGCACGAAUGGCGUAACGAUGGCCACACUGUCUCCUCCUGAGACUCAGCGAAGUUGAAAUGUUUGUGAAGAUGCAAUCUCCCCGCGGCAAGACGGAAAGACCCCAUGAACCUUUACUGUAGCUUUGCAUUGGACUUUGAACCGGUCUGUGUAGGAUAGGUGGGAGGCUUUGAAGCGUGGACGCUAGUUCGCGUGGAGCCAACCUUGAAAUACCACCCUGGUUUGUUUGAGGUUCUAACCAUGGCCCGUGAAUCCGGGUCUGGGACCGUGCAUGGUAGGCAGUUUGACUGGGGCGGUCUCCUCCCAAAGCGUAACGGAGGAGUACGAAGGUACGCUAGGUACGGUCGGACAUAGUGCUAAUAGUGCAAUGGCAUAAGCGUGCUUGACUGCGAGACUCACACGUCGAGCAGGUACGAAAGUAGGUCAUAGUGAUCCGGUGGUUCUGUAUGGAAGGGCCAUCGCUCAACGGAUAAAAGGUACUCUGGGGAUAACAGGCUUAUACCGCCCAAGAGUUCGUAUCGACGGCGGUGUUUGGCACCUCGAUGUCGGCUCAUCACAUCCUGGGGCUGUAGCCGGUCCCAAGGGUAUGGCUGUUCGCCAUUUAAAGUGGUACGUGAGCUGGGUUUAAAACGUCGUGAGACAGUUUGGUCCCUAUCUGCCGUGGGCGCUGGAAAUUUGAAGGGACCUGCUCCUAGUACGAGAGGACCGGAGUGGACGAACCUCUGGUGUACCGGUUAUGACGCCAGUCGUAUCGCCGGGUAGCUAAGUUCGGAAGAGAUAAACGCUGAAAGCAUCUAAGCGUGAAACUCGCCUUAAGAUAAGAUUUCCCUGGGGACUCGAUCCCCCUGAAGGGUCGUCGAAGACCACGACGUUGAUAGGCUGGGUGUGGAAGCGCAGUAAUGCGUUAAGCUAAC